rnacentral:rRNA from 1 species
GAUGAACGCUGGCGGCGUGCUUAACACAUGCAAGUCGAGUGAGAAGUUUUGAAAAGAUUCUUCGGAUGAAAUUUAAAAUGGAAAGCGGCGGACGGGUGAGUAACGCGUAGGCAACCUGCCCCAUACAAAGGGAUAGCAUUUGGAAACGAAUAUUAAUACCUUAUGAAACUUAACUAGUGCAUGCUAGGUAGGUCAAAGAUUUAUCGGUAUGGGAUGGGCCUGCGUCUGAUUAGCUAGUUGGUGAGGUAACGGCUCACCAAGGCGACGAUCAGUAGCCGACCUGGGAGGGUGAACGGCCAGAUUGGAACUGAGACACGGUCCAAACGCCUACGGGAGGCAGCAGUGGGGAAUAUUGCACAAUGGGGGAAACCCUGAUGCAGCAACGCCGCGUGAACGAUGAAGGCCUUUGGGUCGUAAAGUUCUGUUCUAGGUGAUGAAAACUGACAGUAACCGAGGAGAAAGCCCCGGCUAACUCCGUG